GUUUUUAGCUAUAUAAAAGGGUCUGUACACAAUUAUUUUACAAAAAACACCGUGGUGGAACCCCCUCACCCAUGUUUUGAACAGCCUUAUAAGAUAAGAUUAUGCAGCCACUGAAGUCAAUAGCAAAACUCUCACUUAAUUCAAUAGGAUCAGGCCCGGGAUGUGGCACUGAAAAUGGAGUAUUACAUUUUUGCAGUCAAUACGGCAAGAUACAAGUAUGAAGAAGUAUUGGUAAGAGAAUUUGUAAUAUUUGUGACUAAACAUGAAAUUAAUAUAUUUGUUCAUAGAGAUCUGAUUGUGAACAAGGUACAGAGAGCUGUACAGGAUACAAGGACUAUAUCACAGUUGGCAUGAUUCAUCUCUACUACUCAAUAGCUUUUUAAAAAGUAGAAAAGAUGGCCACAACAUACCAUACUUAUUUUGAUAUGGAGAAUCAUGUGACAACUAGUUAGCAAGGUCAAAAUAGAUUGUAUGGCUUACUACCAUUCAGAUGUAUUACUACACAUCAUCUCUUUAUAAAACCACACUAGAGGAUUACCUCCUCUGAAUCUGUGGUUGGUAUAAAAUGAUCUCUGCCACACCUGCAUUAUAACUGGUUCAGAGUAUACACAGACAUUUAGUGCCAAUAACUAACACCACCAGUUUAAAGUUACUUUAAUUGUCCAAAAAAAAAAGAGUUAUGCCUGAAGUCAUUCUGUAUGGUGAAAUCAAAACUACUAUUUUCUGUCCAUUUUCUCAAGCCUCACCAGUAGCAAAAUGCAAACAGGAAAAAGAUUUCCUGGGCUGGAUUUCCUGUCACACUUCUGCUCUUACUAUUUUGGACUCUCUUGAGAAAGGCACAUUAAUAGCUGAGUUUUAGUAAUACUCCACCCUUAUUCAGUGCUUUGAAAGUGUAAAUUCCCAACUAAAUAAGGAGUGUUGCGGCCACAAAGGAUGUGCUAUUGAUAUUCACUGCCGAGCGAAUAAAAAUAAAUAAAAUAAAUAAAUAAAUAAAAACCUAACCAGAAAUCAAUGUACCACAAAGGACUGUGUUAGGCUGAGUCUGUUAAUUCUGCAACAUUACAAGCAAUAUCUACAGAAAAUUUUACUGCAUUCUUUGCCAGUGAUUACACUUAUUUAUUUCAAUUCCACAUGAGCUGAACCAAUACUGCAGGGGUGGCCAACCUGUGGCUCUGGAGCCACAUACAGCUCUUCAGAGGUUAAUAUAGGGCUCCUUGUAUAGGCACCGACUCUUGGGCUGGAGCUACAGGGGCCAACUUUCCAAUGUCCUAGGGGUGCUCACUGCUCAACCCCUGGCUCUGCCAUAGGCCCUGCCCUCACUCCAUCCCUUCCCAUGCCCUCUCCUGAGCCAGCCUUGCCCUCGCUCCUCCCCCCUAAAAAGCCUCCUGCAUACCAUGGAACAGCUGAUCGGGAGGUGCGGGGAGGGAGGGAGAGGUGCUGAUCGCUGGGGCUGCUGGUGGGUGGGAGGCCCUGGGAGCAGGGGGGGGGGGGGAGCUGACAGGGGGUUGCUGAUGUAUUACUGUGGCUCUUUGACAAUGUACAUUGGUAAAUUCUGGCUCCUUCUCAGGCUCAAGUUGGCCAUCCCUGCACUACUGGAUGCAACCUUCCAGCAGCUCAGUUUUUGGCACUACUUUUUGCAUUCUAAGUACAUUAUUACAAAGCAAUUGCCUCUUAUAUUAAAUUGAAACUAAUAAAAUACCUGGCAUUUUCACAAUGCUUUUUUAUCCUGAUUUCCUGAAAUACUUUACAAAGGAGGGAAAGUAUCCUCUCAUAUCUUGUAGACAGGAACACAAAGAAUAAAAGCAAACUUGCUUAAAUAUAGCCUCUUUACUCAAAUAAAACAUGGCUGUAGUAAUUCUAGGGUUGCAAAGGAUUCUGCAAUUCUUUAGCAGUGAAGCAUUUGAUUGCAAACACUACUGCUGAUACACUGUCUACUCUCUUUAGUGCAAUAAAUACCAAACGGAAUAUUAUCUUGUGAUUCAAAAGGCUUCACCUGCAACACUUUUACUGUGAUUUUGUUAGGUUUCAGAAUCUAUAAAAUAUUUUAACAAGCCAGCACUUGGUUGGUUUGCAGGCCUAUGGGGUACAUCAGUGGUGCUGAAAGAGUUGUGUAAAUGAUUCACAUCAUCCUAAUGGCUUACCAAAAACAUAUUAAAAACAGUGGAGACACUUAACUAGGUUUUCAUUUUUACACACUAAGAAAAAUAAACAUAACGAGUUGUGAUUCUUCAUAGAGUAGUAAUUAUGUAAUUAAGUAGUACAUUUUAAGUCUUUUAUAAUUGUACAUUUUAGUUUUACAUGUACACAGUGUUUCAUGCUAUAACAUAUUACAUAUAUGUAAUAAAUGCUAUAGAAUAAAAUGGAUUAGACUGUAUUGUGUGUGGAAUAAUACAUGAGGCAGCAUAUCUAAUAUAUAAAAGCUGCUGAACUCUUGUCUACAAAAGGGCAUCCACCAAGGCAGCUGAGCUAGUGGUAGCACUGGGGGGAAUAUUUUGUUAAAAUUAAUGUGGACACAGCCAGAAAGCACCAUAUGUGCUAAUACCAUCUAGGCUAUGUCAAUCUUAAUUCUGAAUAUUGUUCCUGAGUGGUGGCACAAAUCACAUUAGAUUACAGUGCAACAUCACUACUUCAGUUGCGCUCUCCCAACACAUCAUGUGACACCGCAGCAUGGCGGGGUACACGACAGCUGACGGGCUGGUCUGCAACAGAGCCACACAGCUCUGUAAGGACAGGGUACCCGCAGGCAUGAAGCCAGCGGCCAUUACCAAACUCUCAGCUCGUUUCCUUGGCUACACAGGUUGCCAAGCCCCUCGCUAGCAAAGGAGGUGGAAAGGCCACUGCACGAGCCCCCCGCCCUUAUGCCCCGUUUUCCAGCUCGGCACUGCAGUAACACAUAGACCAAGGAGGAGGGAGAAGCAUCGUUCUCCUUAACCUCUGAGGACAGCACAAGCAGCAACGGGCUUAAACCGCUUUAGGCUGAAGAUUAGGAGAAACGCCCUGUCAGGGCGGCUGAGCCCUGGAAUAAAUCGCAGAGGGAGGCUGAGGAAUCUCCCUCACUGGGGAUUUUUCAGAGCCGCUUGGACAAACACCUGCCAGGGACGGGCUAGAAGAGUAGCGGGACUAGCGUGAGGGGCGGGGGGGGGACAUGAAGGGGGCGGGGGUUGACCCCAGGGGCUAGCCGGAGUGGGGAGGGUGACAGGCCAGACAAGGGAGCGGCUCGUGUCAGCGGGGUGCACGGGGGAGGCCUGGUGGGCAAGGGCUCACCACCCCGCCGCGCCCCAAGGUGCCCGCACGGGACAGCGGAAGGUGGGAUCGGGGCACCCCACGUCCCGCUCGGCCCCCGCGGAUCUCGGACCCACCUUGGCCAGGAUGUGGCCCUGGUGCGCGGCCAGCGGCAGGGUGAGGCCGGUGCGCAGGGCGGCGCCGGCGCACGCGAUACUGAGCCACCAGGGCAGGCCGGUGCCCGCCUGCAGCGCCACCAGCCCGCUCUCCGCCCAGUGCACGGCGGCCGACUCCGCCAGCGCCUCGUACAAACCGCCCGGGCUCGCGCCGGGCAGGGAGGCGGCGGCGGCGGCGGCGGCCCCAGCGCGUGACCCCCAGCCAGGCGACAGCAGGAGCCGCGCGCGGAGGGGCCUCAGCAGCUCCUGCCCCACGCGCCGGCAGCACCACAUCGCGCGCGCGCGCGCGCCGAAAGUCCCCGCGGCCCGUAGGUUGGGCGGGGCGGGGUGACCCAGCGCGUCCUCCUCCCGCGCGCGCCCCGAACUCUCCGGCUCUCAGCCCGGAAGGGGCGCGGUCGUUAGCUUCCGGCCGGCCACCGAGCGGGCGGCUGAGACCGCGGCCUAGAGGCGGCCCGCGCGCAGCUGCGGGAGGCUGGGAGAGGCGCCAUGUUGGACGGGGGCCGGUUUUGCGCUGAGUCAGACCCCUCCCCGCCUACGUUGGAGACCGGAGGAAGAAGCGGGCAUGGCUUGUGAGGCCGUGGGGUGGGACUGGGCAGGGAACGGAGGAGGCCAGCAUGGGGAGGCGAGGCGGGUGUGGGCUUUGAAGGUAGUUCGGGUCAGGCUGAUGCUGGAGCGCGGGCUCCAGUGUCAGGUGUGGGAACCUGGGUCGCUGUGGCCAGUGCGGAGUUCUCAGUAUUACUGGUAUCUGCUCUGCUAGUGGAAAGGCGUCAAGUAGGCCCUGAGGCCAACCCUGUGCUAAGGCAUCUGCCCUCCUGGAUCCGGGGUCUGCCUCCCUUCCCUUGUGAGGUAUUUGGGCCUCUUUGCGUUCGUAUGAUUCACAAGCAGGUCGGCUGGAGGGAGUCCCAACCUCAUCCUCAUGCGAAACUGAGGGUGGGAGGGGUGGAUGAGGAGAUUGAAAACCACCUGCUGCAGGCACCACAAGGAGUUGUACCUGCGGAGCCAGUCUGCUUUUGGGUUCAGGUGCCCUUUCAUGUGGAUCGCUCUGAGGGAAAGGAGGAACUGCUCUGCUCCCCUUGUUAUUUCCACGGGUAGUGCUAGACACCUAGUUUCCCGUUGGUUGUUCAAAUACCCCUCUGUAGCCUUAUUGUCUGAUUGAACCAGGAUGUGGGUCCCCUUAGUGUUGAGCCUGGAACCUUUGUAGAGCUACCCUGACGGCUCUCAGCUCUAGAAGGUUGCUGUUGUGAACCUUUUCCUCCGUGCUCCAGAGGCCCUUGGUGUGUGUUGCAAGGACUAAAGGAUUUGGAAGGCAGAGGAGCAUGGCUUUGUGGAUGCUGUCAUGGACUGACCACUGUUAAAGGAGUUGAACACCUGUGCUGGAACCCAUACUUGAUUUUUCAUGUGCUGUAGGGAGUCCUAUAUCUUUCAUAUGAAAGUUUGAAGACUUCGGAUGCAUGCUUGUGCCCGUGGAGCGAUCCCUAUGUACAGCACUAGGAGUCCUUGCAGUUGGAGGCAUAGUGCCUCCUGUGGCUCUGCAGCAAGAAAAUAAAUUCUUGGGUAAAACCAAACAACUUUUCUUGGUACUGAUGAUGAAGCUGUGCACAUGGAGGAAAUUCCACAUCCAAGAUGUAGCCUUGAGCACUGCUGAUGGGGAUGGAGCGCUGAUCAGGAUGUUGUCCAGGAAGGGAUACAGUGAACUCCCGGAUAGCAUUGAUGUUACAGCCUCCUCUUCCAAUGACUCUGGAAAUUACUGUUGAUGGGACAGAAACCUUCUUUGAUCUACACAGAAAAAAAGUACUAAGUCAACUGGAGAAGCGAUGGUGGUCUGAAAUAAGAUGAAGAUCAGCAGGAAGCUAUGAAGUUUGAAAGAGAUCCUGAGUUGGUGUUUAAGAGGAAAAAUUUAUCACUCCUACUCUCAAACUAAUACAUUCAUUUUAACUGCAAGAUGGGGAACAAUGAAAAAAAUGUUCUGUCAAAAAAAGAUACAUAAAAAGGGGUAACACUACUGGCAUGUUUGACUUUGCAUAUGCACACAUACCUUCUUACAACCUCCUUCCAUCCUUCUUCUCUCUUCUGACCACGUUUAGGGCUAGCUAUGGUUAAUUUUCCAUUUGGAGAAGAAAGGGGAGAAGGUCCAGAUUUUGUGCAAGUGGACAAGGAGUUGCUGGUUACUUCACUGAUAACCUCAGACAAUCUUUAAAAAAAAAUAAUUCGGUGCUUUUAGAUAAAUUAUUUCUUCAAACUCAGUGUAAGACACAAACCAUGUGGCCAUUUUUCUUUGGCCUUUGGGCACUAAGCUUGUUAGGAUCUCCAGCAUUUUAGAAAAUCAUAACUUGAUAGAGUUAGCACAUAUCUGCCCAGAUACACAAGUGCACUAAGCACAAGUGAUCAUUCAUUAAAUAUAGUUAAUGUACAUAUGCAGCAAAAUAUCUAAACAGUAUUUUAGCAACUAACUAAUAGCUAAUUUGAUUUUGCUAUUUUUUCCCCUUCUGCUGAAAGCUAGGAACAGGUUCACUGCAUCUGAGGAAGAUGCAGAGAAAUAAACUACCUAGAAUACUGGAGAAGCAGGAUAUAUCAAUACAAUAGCAGUAUGGACUUCAUUUUUUCCUCUUAUAUGUCUGACAGGAUUAGGAUUAACCAGCCAGUAUGAAUUUUUGUAUGUGGCAUUUUGGAAUGCAUCUAGAAACAUAAUAUUCAAAAGUUUCAUUUGAACUUUUAAAACCACCAAUGAAAUAGCCACUGGAUUAGGUGCCACUUGAACUCAGCAGCAUGGUACCUGAAACCUAGGCUAAAAUACUCCCCUUUUACUUGCUGGCAUUGCUAAAAGACUAGCCACUAGUCAUGACACCUGUUGCCAAAGAACACUGACUAUACUAACGCUGAACUGACUGAAAUGCUUCUGUCUGGGAAACCAUAUAUAGCAAGACAACCCACUGGUUAAAAAUUUGUGGGUAGGCUUCAUACCUCAGCCUACUGUUUUAAAUAAUUCAUGAUCUGAAAAUGUUGCAUCUCCUCAUACAAUAUUUAUAUUCAUAUAAAUAGAAAAGCAAGGAUAUUUGUGCUCUUUCUGUUUUAUUCUUGUACUUUACAAGACUCUAAUGAGGCUAUGAAAAAUAGAUCUUGAAAAUCAUUUUCAGCAGGAAGUUCCAAUUAUUUUAUACUGGGAGUUAUUACGCAUGGCCACAAUAACUUACUUGAUUGAUGAUUUGCCAGAAAUUGCUUUCCUCUCGUCCUUUGGAAAAGUGACAAGUACUGAUGGCUGUUUCUUGUUGCUCAGCGUGUUAGUGGCUGCUGUGGAAGAAUGACUCUCACUUUUGUGGCUGCUGUUGCUAUUGCUGCUUUCGUCACUACAGCUGGAAAUCCUCAUGUUAUCACUGUCACCACUUUCACUGGUACUGCUGCUCUUCGACUCGCCAUUGGCUUUUUCUGAUUGACCAAAGGAGAUUGGGAGCUGAUCAUCAAAUAGAAUCUGAACAUUAUCUGGGUGAAUUUUGUUUUUCCUGCUUUUCCUCUUGGAGCUGGUUGUGGUGAUGGUAUUGUUCCUUUUCCCAUGGGAACCUGCUAACGUAGUCCACGUUGCAGAUAUACCUAUGGUGGUUGUAGUGGUGGCACAUGGAGGCUCCAUUAGGACUUCAGG